rnacentral:rRNA from 1 species
GAGCGAGACCCACGCCAACACGUGCCAGCAUGUCCUCCGGGAUGAUGGGGACACUGUUGGGACCGCCUCUGGCUAAAGAGGGAGGAAGGGAAUGGGCAACGGUAGGUCAGCAUGCCCCGAAUUAUCCGGGCUACACGCGGGCUACAAUGGUCAGGACAAUGGGUAUCGACACCGAGAGGUGGAGGCAAUCUCCUAAACCUGUCCUUAGUUCGGAUUGUGGGCUGCAACUCGCCCACAUGAAGCUGGAAUCCGUAGUAAUCGCGUUUCAAAAUAGCGCGGUGAAUAUGUCCCUGCUCCUU